CAAAACAGAAGCUGGCCAGCGGGGGCCUGGAGUCAGCAGAGCUUGUUGCCCGCAGCAUCAGGGCUGCAAGCCCGGCCUGUGUAGUGCUCUCCGCCAGAAUUGAGCGGGGGCAGCAGCCAGAGCCGGUUGGAGGCUGGAGGGAGAUGGCUCACCUCAGGCUACGUGGGAGCUGGGGGUUGGGGAAGCUGAAGCAGUGGUCACUCUGGACCAUAACCUGUCAGAAGAAGGAGGGUGGAUUCACCCCAUGAGGGGCUAGGUACGGCCAGUCUCCGGAAUGAGCUGGAAAAAAGGAAUCAACAGAGAGGAAGAAAAUUCUGGACAGUCUUUGGAAUCCUGCGUGGUCCUUUGUUUUGUCCUUGCCUCAAAGUCCUCCAGACCCUAAAACAGCCUCUUUUCCUCUCUUCCCUAAGUCUUUGGUAAUUCCUCAUUUGUUUUAAGCCUUAUAAUUCAGUUUUAAAAAAUUGCCUUUGUGAAACCUUUUCUGAUCUGGAACUGUUUGUUGAGAUAUU